UACGUAGGGGGCUAGCGUUGUCCGGAAUCAUUGGGCGUAAAGCGCGUGUAGGCGGUCCGGUAAGUCCGCUGUGAAAGUCGGGGGCUCAACCCUCGAAUGCCGGUGGAUACUGUCGGGCUAGAGUGCGGAAGAGGCGAGUGGAAUUCCUGGUGUAGCGGUGAAAUGCGUAGAUAUCUGGAGGAACACCGGUGGCGAAGGCGGCAUCCUGGACCGGCAUUGACGCUGAAUAGCGAAAGCCAGGGGAGCAAACGGG
rnacentral:rRNA from 1 species